rnacentral:rRNA from 1 species
UACGUAGGUGGCAAGCGUUGUCCGGAUUUACUGGGCGUAAAGGGCGUGCAGGCGGUCUGUUAAGUCUAGGGUGAAAGCUCCCGGCUCAACUGGGAGAGGUCCUUGGAUACUGGCGGACUUGAGGGAGGCAGAGGAAAGUGGAAUUCCCGGUGUAGUGGUGAUAUGCGUAGAUAUCGAGAGGAACACCGGUGGCGAAGGCGGCCUUCUGGACAGUGACUGACGCUGAGACGCGAAAGCGUGGGGAGCAAACAGG